AUAUGGUUCUGGUUUCUCCUCUCCUAAAUUCACAUCUGAUCAUCAGUCUAUAUCAGAUUAUAGUUUGAUUAUUAAUAAUGUGGAGGAGGAAGACUCAGCAGUGUAUUACUGUAAAACGAUUGACUACACUGUUGACGAGUGGGCAUCACAGUGACAUACACUAUGACAAAAACCUCCUCCCCAAAUACACUCACUUCUGCUUCAUGGCAGAGGGGUGAACUCUAAGAAACAGCAGUUGAUCAGUCAUUAUUAUAACAUUAUAUACAAGACACAAUGGGAGAUCUGGAAAUGGAAGAACCAUCCAUUACUACAUGUCAAAAAGAUUAUAAGACGAUUGUAAAAAGAGAUUUAGUCAUUCUUGACGUAAUCAUCAUCAUCAUCAAGUGAAGACUGCAUCAUAUGGAUUUUGCUUUAACUGAUGGAUUCAAAAGGACCAGACACCAACAGCAGAAUAUGAUGCUAUUCUAUAAACUGUUACUUCAAGGAGAGAAACUCUAACAGUCUGAGAUGUUAGUAGUGAGAGUGAAGCUCUGUCUGAAUGGGAUGUUUCAAUUCCUGUCCUCUCAGUAGAGAGAGUGCAGCUCUGUCUGAAUGGGAUGUUUCAGGUCCUGUCCUCUCAGUAGAGAGAGUGAAGCUCUGUCUGAAUGGGAUGUUUCAGUUCCUGUCCUCUCAGUAGAGAGAGUGAAGCUCUGUUGGGAUGGGAUGUUUCAGUUCCUGUCCUCUCAGUAGAGAGAGUGAAGCUCUGUUGGGAUGGGAUGUUUCAGUUCCUGUUCUCUCAGUAGAGAGAGUGAAGCUCUGUUUGGAUGGGAUGUUUCGGUUCCCGUCCUCGCAGUAGAGAGAGUGAAGCUCUGUCUGGAUGGGAUGUUUCAGUUCCUGUCCUCUCAGUAUAGAGAGUGAAGCUCUGUCUGAAUGGGAUGGUUCAGUUCCUGUCCUCUCAGUAGAGAGAGUGAAGCUCUGUCUGAAUGGGAUGGUUCAGUUCCUGUCCUCUCAGUAGAGAGAGUGAAGCUCUGUCUGAAUGGGAUGGUUCAGUUCCUGUCCUCUCAGUAGAGAGUGAGGAGGUUAUUGUACGGCUGUGUAAACAAACUGAAUCACUGUGGUAUUCGGACCAGGAACCAAGCUCAUUGUUACUGAUGGAGAUCUGGCUACACCUGCUGUGACUGUGUUCCCUCCAUCCACUGAAGACCUCAAGUCCAGCAGAGCAACACUGGUGUGUCUGACUAGUGACCUGUCUCAGAGAUCCAAGGGGUU